AGUAGUUUGAUCCUGGCUCAGGACGAACGCUGGCGGCGUGCUUAACACAUGCAAGUCGAACGGAGCACCUUCGAAAGAGACUUCGGUCAAUGGAAAAGAAUGCUUAGUGGCGGACGGGUGAGUAACGCGUGAGGAACCUGCCUUUCAUGGGGGACAACAGUUGGAAACGACUGCUAAUACCGCAUAACGUACGGGUAUCGCAUGGUAUCUGUACCAAAGAUUUAUCGCUGAGAGAUGGCCUCGCGUCUGAUUAGCUAGUUGGUAGGGUAACGGCCUACCAAGGCGACGAUCAGUAGCCGGACUGAGAGGUUGGCCGGCCACAUUGGGACUGAGAUACGGCCCAGACUCCUACGGGAGGCAGCAGUGGGGAAUAUUGGACAAUGGGCGAAAGCCUGACCCAGCAACGCCGCGUGAAGGAAGAAGGCUUUCGGGUUGUAAACUUCUUUUGACAGGGAAGAGCAGAAGACGGUACCUGUCGAAUAAGCCACGGCUAACUACGUG
rnacentral:rRNA from 1 species